AGUGAGAGGGGUAGAGGGAAUUAAAUAUUCUUUUAAUACUAUUUCUAAAUUAAAAAAUAUAUUUUAUAGAAUUAAUAUUACACAUAUGUAAUUGUAGUCUCUUUCGCGGAAAUAUAGAUGGCAAUAUUAGCUGUACGUAAUUAUAUUCGAUAAAAGACAAUUUCACUCCAUUGUAAUAGUUUGAAGUGAAAAGGCCGUUUCAUAUUUCUGUAAACAUUUAAAAAGCAUAAUUGGAAUGUCGGUCCAACAUUAAUAUUCAUUAACUCCACAAUUAUUAGUAUAACUUGGGCACCUUCGUUGAAUGCUAUUGUAAACAAAGCUAUUUAAACAAUAAUGGAACCAUUGAAAUUUGAUUUCGGUGCUAUUUGCCACAUUAAUGAAUUGAAACAUUCAUUAUUAUUUCGGAUGAAUCUCCUAGCAUAUCUUUGCAAUAAUUUUGGAUCCAAAAGAUCUUCGUAUAUCGGAAAUAAAUUUAUAGCAACAUCUUCGGGAAGUGGUGGUUUAUCGAUAAACGAUUCCAAGGUAUUAGUUGAUACAGUAUGUUGAAAUUUACACCAGGAGUCAGCAUCCUCACGGCAUGGAGAAAAUGUCGUGAAUGUUUUAAUAAUGACGUUUUAUGGCAAAAAAUUUACCAAAUCCCAUUAUACAUGUCAUCAAUAUCGUUGGAGUUAUAUCGUAUUGCUAAUCCAUAAUAAUUGAUCAGUUUAGUAAUUACUUUACCCUUUAAUCGGCAUUUUUCCCCCAAGCUAUUAUUAUUUCUCUUGAAAGCCUUGAGUCGAUUACCCAUUUUUUUUUACACAUUCUUUGAUGCAUUCUUUUAUUUGCAAACGGGAUAUCCCCAUAAGGCUUUGCAUCGUAAAUACUUUUAUAUGUUUUAGUAUUGCCAUCAUCAAUAUAAUUUAUAUAUUUUAUUUUAUGCAGUGAUUUUAAGAUAUUAAAAACAUUUCUUUCAUCCCAUCGAACUCUAUUUUAUCUGAUGAAUUUUCAUGGUUAAUUAAACAUACUUUUGAAUGCGUCUGCAGUUAUUCAUCGUACUCAUAUAAUUCAUAUAUUCAUAUAUCUUUCAUAUAAUUCAUAUAUUCAUAUACCUUUCAUAUAAUCCAUUUGUGCGCAGGAUCUAUAAAAGCUACACUUCAUAAUGACACCCACAAUUUUGCCAGUAUGAAAACCAAUUAGGGACAAAAUGCCAAAUAAGAAUUUGAAUUCUUUCUUUUUUCAGCUUCCAUUCCCCUACAUUGUGAUUCGACAAACAUCAUUUGAUGUUGACAAAAUUUUAUAAUUUUCUUCUACUUCUUCUUUUGCAGCCUUGAUGAGAACAAUAUCAUUAACAGUUUUUACUGCAUUCUUGAUCUGUUUCACAUACAAUCAUAAAAACUAUGAAAUUUUGGUCGCGGUAAAUCCAUGAAGGUACAAAAUUUUUCUGUACCACAUAGCCCAACACAAAUGAGUUUUAUGGCUAAUUUUCAUAUGUAUUGUUUAUAAGGGGGCAUAAAUCAAUCGACACAGAAUCACAUUUUUCGCAAUUCAUCGCAAGUUCAAAACCUAAUUCUCGAACACCACGUUCAGUAAAAUUUAUAUUACCACCACAAUUUUUAUAAGAAACAUAAUCACGAAGUACAGUAAAAAUAGAAAAGAAGUUCAAAAUUUUAUAAUUUGUAUUUAAAUUAACGUCAAUCAGUAUCAUUUGAUAUUUUUCUUUUGAAACAUUCAUACGCCGUUUGGAACUUUAACCAUUUUCAAUCUCAAAUUUAUUACGAGGUUGAUUAAAUUUUUUUCCGUUUCGUGUAGCUCUUAUUCUAAUGCCUCUAAUUACUUUUUCAACAUUAAUAAUUAACGGUGCAGAAUCGUAUAUACAAGAAGCAACUUGAAGGACAACUGUACAAGGAUCAAGCAAGGACCUAAGAAUCUCAGCGGGGCGUCUGGCGGGAGCGUUGCGCUACCUGCUCUCACUGAAAUAACUGUAACUCAUGAUCUUCCUCCUUAACAAAAAAGCAAGAAAAAAACUAAAGAAUCAUUAUGUAAGAAUGCGUGCUAGUACGAGAGAGCAUGAAAAAGAAAGUGAAAAACGAUUAUCCAUACCCAUCGCUGUCCGUCAAUUAGAAGCUGUUAUAAGAAUUUCUGAAGCUUUGGCAAGAAUGCAACUUCAAUCUUUCGCUACUGAAAUUCAUGUUAAUGAAGCUCUCAGACUAUUUCAAGUUUCUACAUUAGAUGCUGCUAUGUCUGGUUCAUUAGCUGGUAAGAUGUGUGUGUGUGUGUGUGUGUGUGUGUGUGUGUGUGUGUGUGUGUGUGUGUGUGUGUAACAAAUAUCUAGUAAUUAUUAAUUAAAAACAAGAAAAUUAUUUUUAUAACAUACGAGUCCUUAAUAUUAAUACAUCAUAUUAAACUUAAAUAACUUACUUUCUUAAACAAAAAUAUCCAGAACAUGCUAUUUACAAAGUUAUACACACAAUGAUUCGUUGUGGAAAGCUUCAACAUCGGAUGCAACAAAAAAUGUACAGGUUGUAUUAAAAUAUAAGAAAAGCUUUCAUUGUAUAAUUAUUUUUGUGCAUUUUGUUCAGUUCUCCAUACAAUUUACUGCUUUAUUUUUUAUAUAUAAUUCUGUAUUUUUAAAUUAUGUAACAAGAACAAAUCUUUUGCUCAUGGUUUCAAUUCAUUUUUAAGUGGAUAAAAUGGGUGCUUUUCAACUCUAAAAUAAAAAUAAUAAUGAAAAUAUAUGAAAAAAACAUGUUGUACACAACUUAUUUUAAAUAAUGAAAUAUUGAAAAAUUAUUACAGUUAAACUUUAUUACUUACCCCUUAAAAAAAAGAAAAUUGAAUAUUCGGCCAUUUGUACCUUUGUCUAAAGCAUUUAAAGUAUUCAUAUCUUCUUCUGAUAAAACGAAAUCAAAAAUGUUGAUAUUUGAUUUGAUUCUAUCUUGUGAAGAACUUUUUGGAAUAACUAUGAUUCCUUGUUGUACCAGAUGUCGUAAUAAUACUUGUGCUGUUGUUUUUUUAUAUUUAUUAGCCAUUUCAAGUACAACAGGAUGUUCAAGAAGAUUGGGGAAUUUUUCUAAACUAUAAUUAUAUAUUCUUUGUAUAACGACUUUAGCUCCAGGUGAUGCUAAUGAGCUGUAAGCUGUUACAACAAUAUUGUGUUUUUGACAAAAUUCUCUUAUCGGUUUCUGUUGUAAGUAUGCAUGCAAUUCAACCUAUUAAAAAAUAUAUUUACAUUGACUGUACUUUUUGAUUAUAAAAUUAUACAAUAAGUUUAUGAUAUCAACAGCAUGUAUACCUGUAAGUUGGCUGGUUUUAUUUUUGCAUUUUUAUAUACUUCUAAUAUUUGUGCUUCAUUAAAAUUACUUAAACCUAUAGAUUUAACACGUCCUUUUGCUACUUGUUUCUCCAUUUCCUAAAAAUGUUAAAUAAUUAUAAUAUUAUUAGGAGCAACUGGAAAGAGAAGUACUUAUAUCCAUGAUAUUAAUUGCAUAUUAUACCUUCCAUACAGAAACUGGAUCCGUGUCUAGGUCAAGUAUAUAACUACCAUCUUCUAAAGCUGCAGGAGCAUAUGCAUUUUUAUCUAAUACAAAGGCAAAUGGCGCGUGGAUCAGAUACAUAUCCAAAUAAUCCAAACCAAGACGUUCUAAUGAUAAUUUAAGAAACUUUUCAACAUCUAAUGGUCGAUUACCAUAAGGGGGUAACUACAAAAAAUAAUAUACUUUUUUAAUAUACUUAUUAAAAAAUAUAAAAUUCUUAUUCUUUUCAUAUUUGAUUUUUUCUGUUACCUUUGACGUAACAAAAAGUUCUUCACGUUUACCACCUUUGUCAAACCAAUUUUUUAAGCUUUUUCCAAUCGCUUCUUCGUUAUUAUAAUUAAAUGCAGUAUCAAUAUGUCGGUAACCACACUCCAAAGCAGUCGCAACAGCAGCUUCAAUUUCUUCAGGUUUGGCCUUGCAAAUGUAAUAAAAGAGAAGAUAUAUUUAAUUUGUAAAUAAAUAAUUAUAAUAAUAUAUCGCCUAUAAUUAUAUUAUUUAUUAAAAAUCUUAUUAUGUGAAAAGUUUCUAUUUUAUCACCUGCCAUGUCCCUAAACCUACAGUAGGCAUAUCAUGACCAGAUGAUAAUUUUACGGAAUG